rnacentral:rRNA from 1 species
GAUCAUGGCUCAGAUUGAACGCUGGCGGCAGGCUUAACACAUGCAAGUCGAGCGGAGACUUCGGUCUUAGCGGCGAACGGGUGAGUAAUACCUAGGAAUCUGCCUAUUAGUGGGGGAUAACGAAUCGAAAGGUUCGCUAAUACCGCAUACGUCCUACGGGAGAAAGGGGGGAGUCUUCGGACCUCUCGCUAAUAGAUGAGCCUAGGCCGGAUUAGCUAGUUGGUAGGGUAAAGGACCUACCAAGGCGACGAUCUGUAGCUGGUCUGAGAGGGCGGACGGCCACACUGGGACUGAGACACGGCCCAGACUCCUACGGGAGGCAGCAGUGGGGAAUUGUUCGCAAUGGGCGCAAGCCUGACGACGCAACGCCGCGUGGAGGAUGAAGGUCUUCGGAUUGUAAACUCCUGUUGAUCGGGACGAAAAGACUUCGACCUAACACGUCGAGGACUGACGGUACCGGUUGAGGAAGCCACGGCUAACUCUGUG